AACGAACGCUGGCGGCAGGCUUAACACAUGCAAGUCGAACGCCCCGCAAGGGGAGUGGCAGACGGGCGAGUAACGCCUGGGAAUCUACUAAUCCCUACGGAACAACUCCGGGAAACUGGAGCUAAUACCGUAUACGCCCCACGGGGCACAGAUUUACCGGGGUUGGAUGAGCCCGAGUUGGAUUAGCUAGUUGGUGGGGUAAAGGCCUACCAAGGCGACGAUCCAUAGCUGGUCUGAGAGGAUGAUCAGCCACAUUGGGACUGAGACACGGCCCAAACUCCUACGGGAGGCAGCAGUGGGUAAUACUGGAAUAUGGGCGCAAGCCUGAUCCAGCCAUGCCGCGUGAGUGAUGAAGGUCUUAGGAUUGUAAAGCUCUUUCACCGAUGAAGAUAAUGACGGUAGUCGGAGAAGAAGCCCCGGCUAACUUCGUGCCAGCCGCCGCCGUAA
rnacentral:rRNA from 1 species